ACUUGUGAUAUAAUAGUUUAGGGUUGGUACAUACAGCAAGACAGGUUUUACAGGUAAGUUAAAGAAUAAACAUUUGCUUGUUAAGCUCAGUUGAAUCAUCUGUUAUCUUGAUAAGAGGCUAUUUACUCAAAUAAGGGUAAGUUAAACAGUAUGAUUUUGAAAUAAAUGGACUUGUAGAAAUUUUCUAAAUUAAGCAAUAAAGUUAUUUAAAACUUUAUCUUCCUAGGAAAGAACUGUAUGAAAUACCAAAAGUAUGUUAAUAUGGACUGUGUAGGUGGUUUCUGUUCUGUUUCUACUCUUUUAGGCCUAAAAAUGGUAAUAACUUCCAGCAGUUACUAACCCCAGGGUGCUUCAUCGUCUGUGGUUGAUUUCCCUUCAACAUGCCUACAUCCUUGAAGAUAACCUUUCUUAAUACUUUUUUCAAUUACUCUAAUUGAAUAUGCCAUCUGUUUCUUAAUUGUACCCUAAUAAAGAUAAUUAUGAGUUGAUAAACAUUUGUUCACUUGUACAUAUUUAUAAAUUCACCAACUCUCACAGAAUCACUUGGUUGCCUGGCAUUAAUCAAUUGCAUUGCUAUUCCAAUUCAAUAUCACUGCAUAUGUUGUAGUUACUGUUGGUGCAGCAAAAUGCAAACUCAGGAGUAAAAGACUGUGCUUUGUGCCUGGACCUAUUUGACUCCACAUACAGAAGGUUUUGAUGGUCAUGUUAGAGCAGAGUGAAAACAUGAUCAGACACCUGCAGAGAAACUUUCCUUUAUUCCUCAUUAGGAGAUGCUGUUUGUAAACUUUAAAGUGCAAAAUCCUCUACAGUUCCUGAAUUUCCUGGACCCAUAAAAAUGUUUGUCCCACAUUUAGGUACCUACUUAACAUGAAGAUGGCAAGAAUGAAGGCUUUUGCUGAUCUACCUCCACCCCAUGAAUAUUAAAUACAUUUUCUCUCUCUUAUGAUUUUCUUAAUAGCAUUUUU
rnacentral:lncRNA from 1 species